ACCAAUCGCGGUCGAUUAUUCUUACGACUACGACUAUGCGACUCGCACUGGCUGUGUUCUGCCGAAGUUAGCUAAGAAUAAGCGCUUUAUGCUGAUUGGAUAGAUCUAGAAGAAUAGCUCUAUUUCAGCACAGAUCUGAAAGUAUAAUCCAAUGAACGCAAAGCGCUUAGCAAGCGCAAACUUCUGCUGGACACAGGCACUGUUGACCACGCAUUGGUGGACCUGCGCGUGCAGGCGAGACAAGGCGAGUCAGUGAAACGACCAAUCGAGCCUACACGACGGUGCGCAUCAAAACAUACGCGACGAUGAAGUGACAAUUUCGGCAGUUCUGUCGUAUUUGCCAGGCCAGUACACGGCAGCGGCACUCGACGGCUCUCGUACGAUUUCUAGCGAGACGAGACGGAAGCUGCGUGCGACCAGGUCGGUGACAGUGCCGUCGGGAUCGCGCGGCGUUGGCCGUUCGCCGUUGGUAAUAGACUAAUAGCUGGUGUCCAUCGCCGAUCUCACGAGAGCACGAUGUUUCGGUGCGUCGAGUGACAGAUGCGACACUACGUAUGUGUAAAUAUGGUGGUUUUUAUGUAGUUAAUUAUCGUAUACGAAUUCUCCUGGAUCCUCAUACUCGCGGGGGGACACUUAUGUAAUAUUUAAUAAAAAUGUCGCAAGGAGAUGGUGCUGCUGCCGCCGCCGCCGCCGCCGCCGCUGUCGCAGUGCCUAAUAAUCAAAACGGUGCGGUAGCACACAAUCUUCACAGUCUCGCUGGUGUUAUAGGACCAGUCCUAAAUAAUAAUAACAUGAAUAUAGCUAGAAAUAACAAUAAUCAAAACCCGCUGAUUAACGUGCGGGAUAGGUUGUUUCAUGCGUUAUUUAUCAAAGCGGCGCUAGCCUACGCACGAACAUUUCCAAGGCCUGUCAGGAGAUUUAUAGAAUUUAUAGUCCUUUUGAAGGCUAUAUUGGCAUUUUUUGUAUUGGCUUACAUCCACAUAGUAUUUUCACGUGCACCAACUAAUUGCUUAGAACAUAUAAGAAACGAGUGGCCGCGAGAUGGCAUACUGAGAGUCGAGAUUCUCAGGAACGGCGGCGAGGAUUAUAGCAUAGAGAAGAGUUAUGCCAAAGAGGAGAAACUGAGGCAGGAAAAAGAUGAUUUUUCUAAUGCUCUAGCGCUAAUAACCAGGAAUGGCUUUAUAAAUAUCGAACCGUCGGCUGUCGAUGAAGAGCGGGACGCUAUAAGCGUUCCCGCCGAAGGGAACCAUGAGAAUUUAACGUUGCUCGAACAAGAUCUGAUAACGGGUGCGACAAUCUCUGGAGAGACGCAAAAUCCUGACCUAAGCACGACAAACACAACGAUGAGCCCAUCAUUGUCAACAAAGCUUUGGAGUGGUUUAAAUAUAGCCAAGAAAAUAUCAUCCGGAGAGAAGUCAUCUUUUACGACUGCAGAAGGUAAUUCCACGGAAAUGCCUGAUCAUUUAAAUGAAGAUAACGUACGACUAAAAGAUCGUACAUCGGAUGUUGAUAAAACAACUAGGAUAGAAGAUGGAUAUAUCGUGGAAUAUUCAUUGGAAUAUGGUUUCUUGCGAUUAUCACCAGCGGCACGACAAAGGCUAAACAUUCCUGUUAAAAUUGUUACCUUGGACCCAUUGAAUGACAAGUGUUUUGGUGAUGCAUUUUCACGGUUUAUAUUAGAUGAAUUUUUGGGAUAUGACGAUUUGUUGAUGGCAAGUAUCAAGACGCUAGCAGAACAGGAAGACAACAAAGGUUUUUUGCGGAACGUGGUAACGGGAGAACAUUACCGAUUUGUGAGCAUGUGGAUGGCCCGAACAUCAUACUUGGCUGCAUUUUUCGUUAUGCUCGUAUUUACGGUGUCCAUCUCGAUGUUACUGCGCUACUCGCAUCAUCAGAUCUUUGUCUUUAUCGUUGACCUCAUACAAAUGUUGGAGUUUAACUUAACCGUGUCAUUGCCAGCUGCCUCCCUACUGACAGUGGUCCUGGCGUUAGUAGGGAUGGAGGCGCUUAUGUCGGAAUUUUUCAAUGACACAACCACUGCGUUUUACAUAAUCUUGAUAGUGUGGCUUGCCGAUCAAUACGAUGCUAUCUGCUGUCACACGGCUCUUACGAAAAGACACUGGCUAAGAUUCUUCUACCUGUAUCACUUCUCUUUCUACGCGUAUCAUUAUCGAUUUAACGGACAGUACAGCAGUUUGGCGUUGGUCACAUCUUGGCUCUUUAUACAGCACUCGAUGCUGUACUUCUUUCAUCACUACGAGCUGCCGGUGAUUCUGCAGCAGGCGCACCUUCAGCAGAUCCUGUUUCGUAAUCAUGCUCAACCCCAGGCGCAACCAGCAACGCCCAGCACGGCCCCGACCACCCCGGGUCCGUCGCCAUCGCCGUCGGCGGUACCUUCGCCUUCGUCGAGCCCGUCGUCACCUCCGACGGAACGGACGCAACAAAACUACAUUAGCGAGCUUUCUCAGCUUGACUUGGAAUCUAGCGGCGCGGAAGAGCGGCAUGCCGAUGCGGACACUCAGCAAACGUCCGCGACGGCCGAUCGUCGGGACGAUUCUCUUCGAGGUGACACGUGAGCGUCGAAUUGAAAAUCCUCUUCUUAAUCCAAUGAGAAAAUUGCGGAAACUCAAAUAGGUAAGCUCGAUUCUGUAUCUCUCGAGGCCAAUGUAGAAGAAUAAAUAUAAUUGCCUGGCGUUUCAAAGAAGACGCUAGAAUAAUACGCGCGUAAGCGAAAAGUCGUGGAUCGAGAGUGGGAAAAAAAACGAAGAGUGCGACAGUAGGUGUUUUUUUUUACAUAUUCGAGUAAAUUGUUGAAAGUAUUCGUUCGUACUGAUUACAAGACUGUCGGAUGUCCAUUCGUAACGAUCGCAUCAAUUUAAAAAUGCGAGAGACGAGUGGUCUCAUUGUUUAUAUUUAUUAUCGGUAUUGUCCAAUGAUCGUAAUUGUGCAUAUUUUUGUUCAAAGUAUUAUAUAGUACUAGAUAUAUAUAUAUGUAUUAUAUGUAUGGUAGAAAGUGUGACGACCACAUAUACCUCGGAGUAUUGAAUAUUAAUGAAUUUUGAAAAAUUUAGAAGGACAGGGGACGAGAUCCUGAAUUUAAAGCACUCGCUCCGCUUUGCUUCAACUUGACAGGUUUUCUCCCUGCUCCAUUACCCCUUCAUAUUCUUCCCUUUUUCUCGCGAGAUUAUUCGCUUAUCGGUUCAUUGUGGAUUCCUCCUAUCCUUUAUGAGCAGCGGUCGCUUCCCGUGCAUGCUAAAUAUCUUUUCUCGCUACUUCCACCAUUCGUUUCAGCUUCGCCUAGUGCAGACGCGUCAACCUCGUACAGUUGCUGCGACGGAAUAAGACGUAUAUAGGCCAUAUUCUCCCUUCGACUUCCGAUCCUUGUUUUCUCCAAAGGUAGGAAGGGCGGUUCUUAACGAAGAAAUUAAAGGCGGAGGGCAGCACACGCCAAAGUACUCUCGGUUUUGCGUUAAACUUUUACGAUGCACUCACGGAAAGCUGCAGAGAUUCUUCUCGCUAUACGGAUCCGGCUCGUUAAACCGAUUUUGUUCGAACUACAUCAUUUCGUUAUUAACGAAAGGUCGACUUCUUUCUCGCUGAUACUUGAUACAUCUUUAAUAUGUGUUUUAACUUGUUCUGCAGAUUAAAUACUAAUUGCUGCUCUUGAGCGGAAUGCAGGCGUUUUGAAUUUUCAUAUCAAAUUGUAUAAUUCGCCUAUUAAUAAUUAAACGCGAACAAUUUUUAUAAACUUGUGUCGUUAUUUGCAUCCCAGACAAAGAAUGUGCUAUUUGUACUAAAAUUGACUCGAAUUAGGUGUGUUAGCAAGUUGUAGGUGUAACAAAUAUAUAAUUUACCUUCGUUAUUUAUAAUAAAAGUAUCGAAUAUAGAUAAUAUAGGAAUUGCGUCCUGUACAUGGCAUAAAAAUUAAUUGGGCUAGUAUCUAAUAUUUUACUUCUGGUAGUGUUCGACGGGACAAGGUUGACUGCACAAAUUGAGGCCUUUGUAUACGCUUAACUAUGUUUUAAAAUCGAUACAAAAUGAAUUUAUGUCACCUGUAGCCGACAGACAUUUUGUAAGAGAAAAAUUAAUGUUUUACAGAUUUACUAAAAAUAAUUGCUAUUAAUACAACUUGUAUACAUGUGUUAAUCAUAUUUAUUACGUAGCGAGAGAAUUAAUUAAUAAUUCGGUUAACCCUUUGAAGCAUAG